rnacentral:rRNA from 1 species
AUUGAACGCUGGCGGCAUGCCUUACACAUGCAAGUCGAACGGCAGCACGGGAGCAAUCCUGGUGGCGAGUGGCGAACGGGUGAGUAAUACAUCGGAACGUGCCCAGUAGUGGGGGAUAGCCCGGCGAAAGCCGGAUUAAUACCGCAUACGACCUACGGGUGAAAGCGGGGGAUCGCAAGACCUCGCGCUAUUGGAGCGGCCGAUGGCAGAUUAGCUAGNGGUGGGGUAAAGGCCCACCAAGGCGACGAUCUGUAGCUGGUCUGAGAGGACGACCAGCCACACUGGGACUGAGACACGGCCCAGACUCCUACGGGAGGCAGCAGUGGGGAAUUUUGGACAAUGGGCGCAAGCCUGAUCCAGCCAUGCC